GACGAACGCUGGCGGCGUGCCUAAUACAUGCAAGUAGAACGCUGAAGAGAGGAGCUUGCUCUUCUUGGAUGAGUUGCGAACGGGUGAGUAACGCGUAGGUAACCUGCCUUGUAGCGGGGGAUAACUAUUGGAAACGAUAGCUAAUACCGCAUAACAAUGGAUGACACAUGUCAUUUAUUUGAAAGGGGCAAUUGCUCCACUACAAGAUGGACCUGCGUUGUAUUAGCUAGUAGGUGAGGUAAUGGCUCACCUAGGCGACGAUACAUAGCCGACCUGAGAGGGUGGUCGGCCACACUGGGACUGAGACACGGCCCAGACUCCUACGGGAGGCAGCAGUAGGGAAUCUUCGGCAAUGGGGGCAACCCUGACCGAGCAACGCCGCGUGAGUGAAGAGGGUUGUCGGAUCGUAAAGCUCUGUUGUAAGUCAAGAACGGGUGUGAGAGUGGAAAGUUCACACUGUGACGGUAGCUGACCAGAAAGGGACGGCUAACUACGUG
rnacentral:rRNA from 1 species